AUAUCGUGGUUUCAGUUGCUGCCAUGGCCGCGACUCCCGGGACAAACCACGACACAAAAGUCCAUCCAACUGAAGAAGACACAUCUGAGACAAUUGCUUUGGACACGAAACUCAGGAUAAAUGAGGAAACCAAAGUGCAACCAUUUGAACAAUAUAUCUGUUACGAAUGCAAUGAGAUAUUUCAACGAAAAAGUUCCUUAGAUAUCCAUAUUAAGAUGAAAAAUUUUAUUCGCAAAAACUUUCGCGAAUAACUACCUAUAGAUAACUUAGGGUGACCUUCCCUAAAUUAACGUACGUAUAAACCUAAGGUCCUUUUUAUCCCUGAAAAUCAAAGCGGUUUUUAAACUUUUCAACGCUGUCGAAAAAAAACCGUGCCUGCCACGCCAAGCUCUAAUUCAACGCUAAAUUAAUUAAAAUAUAAGCUAGGUAUAGGUUGCCUAUCCACGCAGACACAAAGUGGAUGGCUUCAUCUAGUAAUUCAUAAAUUAAAAAGUUGAUUGAGUACUU